AGAACUACUUAUUCUACUGGCAUAGUCACUCAAUACAUGUUUCCAGAUGACUCCAUACUCACUUUAGGAAAAUGCAGACUCCAGCACCACAAUGAAGUGCAUGAAAAACGCAUGCUCCAACCUCUUCCCCAUUCACUAUUUCUUGGCAACAGAUGUUCUGAGAACAUAGGAUGGCCCCACAGAAAAGACAGAGGACAGGAUGCUUUCGCUCAUCAUCUGCAGACCGUGGACACCUCAACAGGGGAAGACACAUUUAGUGUGUUGAAAAAACAAGACCCACAUCAUGUAUCUAUUUAGUAACAAAGCUUGUUCCAUCACUCACCCU
ensembl:processed_transcript expressed sequence AV039307